rnacentral:rRNA from 1 species
CCUACGGGAGGCAGUAGUGAGGAAUAUUGGUCAAUGGGAGAGAUCCUGAACCAGCCAAGCCGCGUGAGGGAAGACGGCCCUAUGGGUUGUAAACCUCUUUUGUCGGAGAACAAAACCCGGGACGUGUCCCGGACUGCGUGUAUCCGAAGAAAAAGCAUCGGCUAACUCUGUGCCGGCAGCUGCGGUAAUACGGAGUAUGCGGGCGUUAUCCGGAUUUAUUGGGUUUAAAUGGUGCGUAGGCGGUCCGUUAAGUCCGUGGUAAAAUGGCGGGGCUCAACCCCGACGAGCCGUUGAAACUGGCAGACUUGAGUUGGCGAGAAGUACGCGGAAUGCGCGGUGUAGCGGUGAAAUGCAUAGAUAUCGCGAAGAACUCCGAUUGCGAAGGCAGCGUACCGGCGCCAGACUGACGCUGAGGCACGAAAGCGUGGGGAUCGAACAGGAUUAGAUACCCCUGUAGUC